GACAGAGGGUGCAAACGUUGUUCGGAAUUACUGGGCGUAAAGCGCGCGUAGGCGGGUUGGUAAGUCCGCUGUGAAAGCCCGGAGCUCAACUCCGGAGGGUCGGUGGAUACUGCCAGUCUUGAAGGUGCUAGGGGGAGAUGGAAUUACCGGUGUAGCGGUGAAAUGCGUAGAUAUCGGUAGGAACACCAGUGGCGAAGGCGGUCUCCUGGGGCAUUCUUGACGCUGAGGCGCGAAAGCUGGGGGAGCGAACGGG
rnacentral:rRNA from 1 species